rnacentral:lncRNA from 1 species
GUGUUUUUUGUUCUGUUUUCGCAGAUUUCCCGUAAGGGUAAAAUUAGUUCCUCCUUUCCCCCGAGAAACCUGAAUGAGUCCAAAAUCACAAAAUAAAUUAUAAUGAUAGUGUAGAGAGAAUAUGUCAAUGUGAAGAGCAAUGUGUCAGUGUGUUCCCAAGGAGGGAGAAUGAAACCUCCCAAGACUGACCUAAGGUAACCCCCCGAGAGUGACUUCAUGUGAAGCCUGUGUGUAACCCCCAAGAGUGAAGUGAAGAGUGAUAUCUAACCCAAUGGAUUCAAUGUGUGAAACCUGAUAUGUAAACCCCAAGAGUGAAAUGUGUGUGCAGCCCUGAUAUCUACUCAAACAGUCCAGUAUGUGUGAAGUGAUAAAAUCCAAACCAGAGCCACAGACCCCCAGUUAGAAUGGUAUAAAAGAGAGACCAGCUCGUUCCACUCGGAUGCCUAAGACAAGCCAACACUCUGCGGGAUGAGACAUCGGACUCCUGCCUGGGGUGGACCCCCGGAUCAACGUGGAGGCAACCAGAUCGAGCAAUGCAAUCACCAGGAAAGGAGAAACAAAGCUGCCAUUCACGAGGUUACCAUGACCAUGUCUUCAACUGGGUUCCUCAAAUACAGCGAGGA